GACGAACGCUGGCGGCGUGCCUAAUACAUGCAAGUCGAACGCUUCUUUCCUCCCGAGUGUUUGCACUCAAUUGGAAAGAGGAGUGGCGGACGGGUGAGUAACACGUGGGUAACCUACCCAUCAGAGGGGGAUGACACUUGGAAACAGGUGCUAAUACCGCAUAACAGUUUAUGCCGCAUGGCAUAAGAGUGAAAGGCGCUUUCGGGUGUCGCUGAUGGAUGGACCCGCGGUGCAUUAGCUAGUUGGUGAGGUAACGGCUCACCAAGGCCACGAUGCAUAGCCGACCUGAGAGGGUGAUCGGCCACACUGGGACUGAGACACGGCCCAGACUCCUACGGGAGGCAGCAGUAGGGAAUCUUCGGCAAUGGACGAAAGUCUGACCGAGCAACGCCGCGUGAGUGAAGAAGGUUUUCGGAUCGUAAAACUCUGUUGUUAGAGAAGAACAAGGACGUUAGUAACUGAACGUCCCCUGACGGUAUCUAACCAGAAAGCCACGGCUAACUACGUG
rnacentral:rRNA from 1 species